rnacentral:lncRNA from 1 species
CAGGAACUCCAGGUCCUGUCCGGGUCACUCUGACCUCAAUAGCAGUGAGGGAUUUUUUAAGGCAGCAACAGGAUUUCUGGUGUCCAGUGCUUGAAAACUCAAGGGAAGAAAGCCCCCAGCUCUCAAACCAAGCAAGGAUCUUUGUCUCUAGGCUAACAGAACAUGUGGUUCCAACAUCUGGGGUUUGUAGCCUGCAAAAAUCUAAUCAUGAAGACAGAGAGAUUGUCACAAAUUCCCAUAACGCACUUUGGGUAUCUCGGCUCUUGGCCUGUUUGGAGCAGGUAGGGAUGAGAGCUAAAAGCUGCCUAGCUCCUCUCAAGGUUGGUGUUUGGCCCCUUUUGUCUAGAUGGGGAAAAAGAGUUCUUCAUAAGCACUCUUAUCUCUACCUGUUUUAUCUGAUAAACAAAACAAUACAGGCCAGCAAGACAGCUCUGGCUCCACAGGUAAAGGUGUUUCCUGCCAAACCUAAUGACGCGAACCCACAGGGUAAAAAGAGAGAACUUAAUCCUACAAGCUGUGUCCUCUGAGCUACACACACACACAUACACACAAGCUACACACACACACAUACACACAAGCUACACAUACACAUACAAUAAACAAAUAAAUAAAUGUUUUAAAAGCAUACAAAGCCCUGUAUUGGAUGUUCUCUGAACUGUGUUUUUGUUAGUACCCUUUCCAAAAAGAAAAGAGUUCUGUCUCAUUGAAAAAACUCUAUCCUACUACACAUCUGUAACCCCACCCCUGCCAGAGGC